rnacentral:rRNA from 1 species
GACGAACGCUGGCGGCGUGCCUAAUACAUGCAAGUCGAGCGGACCUCUUCGGAGGUCAGCGGCGGACGGGUGAGUAACACGUGGGCAACCUGCCUGUAAGACUGGGAUAACACCGGGAAACCGGUGCUAAUACCGGAUAAUCCUUUUCCUCUCAUGAGGAAAAGCUGCAAGUCGGUUUUUAGCUGACACUUACAGGUGGGCACGCGGCGCAUUAGCUAGUUGGGGAGGUAACGGCUCACCAAGGCGACGAUGCGUAGCCGACCUGAGAGGGUGAUCGGCCACACUGGGACUGAGACACGGCCCAGACUCCUACGGGAGGCAGCAGUAGGGAAUCUUCCGCAAUGGAAGAAAGUCUGACGGAGCAACGCCGCGUGAGCGAUGAAGGCCUUCGGGUCGUAAAGCUCUGUUGUUAGGGAAGAACAAGUGCCGGAGUAACUGCCGGUACCUUGACGGUACCUAACCAGAAAGCCACGGCUAACUACGUGCCAGCCGCCGCAGUAACAC